AUUCUAUUUGGCUUAAUUUUUUUGUUGCUUGUGUUAUUGUUUUUAUUGAAUUAUCUUAUUGUUGUUGUAUGGAUUUUAGAUUUGAUUUUUUGUUUUAUAGUUUACUUGUACUGUAGGGGGUGGUUAUGGUUUAGUUAGUAAAAGCUUGCUUGUUUUGUUUUACCUUGUGUAUCAGGGUUUAUUAAAUUUUAUUAUGGAUUUAUGUAUUUCCCGAUUCUGAAUGAUCUAAUGAUUUAUUUUAGUUACUGUUGCAUAAGUAUUAAGGAUAUUUUGUUAGUAGUGAUAUGUUUUCGUUUUCGGUGGUUUCUGGUUUUCUGAGAAAUGAAUUUAAUUCAUGCAUCUUGUUUAGUUAUUCUUAGUUAUUUAGUUUUUCUUUAUUUGAUGUAAAUAUUUUGGGGGAUUAGCUCUGAUUUAUAUUUUUAUAACUUUGUUCUCCUUUUUACUUUUGUGGGUUUUAUGGUAACUAUCAUUUUAAUUAUGUUAAAAUUUAAUUAUUCCUUUUUAUUUCUUUUUAUUUUUGUUUAAUUUUUUAUUGGGAUUUUUCUUUUAAUUAUUUAUUGUUUGUAAUUAUGAUGGAAUUAGUAUAUUUAUUUUGUUUUUUUUGUUUUCUUUAUGUUAGUUUUUUCUAAGGAAUUAGGCAAAUUAUUUGCGUCCGCCUGUUUAACAAAAACAACUCCUCUUGUUUAAGUUUUGAGGUAGGGCCUGCCCGCUGAGUUUUACUUGAAGGGCCGCGGUAUACUGACCGUGCAAAGGUAGCAUAGUCAUUAGUCUUUUAAUUGUAGGCUGGUAUGAAUGGUUUGACGAGAUGCAAUCUGUCUUGGAUUGAUUUGUUUAUUGAACUUGGGUUUUAGGUAAAAAUACCUAAAUUUUUUUGUGGGACGAGAAGACCCUAUAGAGUUUUAUUUGAUCUUAAUUUAUUUUGUUUGUUUUGUUUUAUAGUUAGGCUUUAAUUUUGCUGGGGCGGUGUGAAGAUUUAUUUAACUCUUCUUUUUAUUUGUAUAUAGAUUAAUAUUUUGUUGAUCCUUUAUUAUUGAUUUUAAGACUAAAUUACCUUAGGGAUAACAGCGUAAUCUAUCUUGAGAGUUCUUAUUGACAGAUGGGUUUGCGACCUCGAUGUUGGAUUAGGAUAAAUUUUUGGUGUAGCAGCUAUAGUAAUUAGGUCUGUUCGACCUUUAAAAUCUUACAUGAUCUGAGUUCAGACCGGCGUGAGCCAGGUCGGUUUCUAUCUAUAAUAACUUAUAGGGACUUAGUACGAAAGGACCAGUUUCUAGGAAUAAUUUUGUUUUUAUGAUUGUCAUUAAUU
rnacentral:rRNA from 1 species